AACAAAACUUAAUACCGUUCUUAAAAUGGAAUUUUUUGUAAGCAAAAGAGGUAAAACAAUGUUGCUUUUUGAUGGUUUUAAAUAUGUUUUUAGUUAGAUGUUACAUGAAAAAUUGCCUGGCUAAUAUUUUGAAAAAAAAAAAGUAAUACUUAAAACAAAAGGUGAUCAUGGAUACAAUUGUUCAUUCAAAAAUAUAGAUGGUCAAAAAUUACCAAUGACAUUAAUUGGCGGAAAUGUCUUUUCACAAAAAUACAUUUUGGCGGAAACGAGAAUCAUACCUUUUUUGUUUUCGGCAGAAAAGGGCUACCUAUGCGUAAAUCAGGGAACCGGAUUUUUGGCGGAAACGGGACAUGCCCGGUUUUAAUAAUUAACAUUACUAACCAAUUCUGUUCAUCCAUUAUCCUUAUAACGAAUUUAUUUCGACUUGUCUUCUUACCAUAUACUGUUAUUUGGAGUGAUUAAAAAAUAUGAACUAUGGUA